rnacentral:rRNA from 1 species
AUGCACUUUCUUCCCCGUCUUUCACUCUUCUUCCUCAUCUCUUGUUCUUCCUCCUCUCUUCCCCAUCGUCGGCCGCACACCAUUUCCCCCGCUCACUGCUCGCCCGCCCGCGCCAUCUUCCUUGGUAGCUCCAGACGCAAAUGCGCUGGCCUUCAUGAUUCCAGGACCUGGAAUCAUACCAGCCGAUGGUCCAAGAAGGAUUGGCCGGUGCUACCGGCUGGCAUCAAGUUCGAUUCGACGGAUCAGGAGCUGAUCGAGCACCUUGAGGCCAAAGUGAGUGUAGACAGCGCGAGAUCUCACCCUCUCAUCGAUUUGUUAAUACCAACCAUCGACAGCGAGCAUGGGAUAUGCUACACCUAUCCUGAGAAACUUCCAGGUAUCACACUGAGUGGCGUAAGCAAGCAUUUCUUCAAGCGCAAUUCCAGGGUGUUCAAAAGGGGCACGUGGACGCGCCGCAAGAUACAAUCGGAGUGCGGCAUGCACACGAUGUGGCACAAGACCGGCAAAGCCUUGCCGGUGAUGGUCAACAGCCGGCAGACGGGCAGCAAAAAGGUUCUGGUGCUGCACACCAACAAGAACUUCGACCAACAGAGGACCAACUGGGUGAUGCACCAGUACCACCUUGGGGACCUAGAAAUUCUCUCGUUUAUUGAGCAGGCCCAACCCAUGACGACUGGGGCACAAAGAUCCAGCAGAUAA